GAGCACGUAGGUGGGUUUGUAAGUCAGAUGUGAAAGCCUCCUGUUCAACGGGAGAAUUGCAUCUGAAACUACUGAUCUUGAGUGUAGGAGGGGAGAAUGGAACUUCUGGUGGAGCGGUGAAAUGCGUAGAUAUCAGAAGGAACGCCGGCGGCGAAAGCGAUUCUCUGGCCUAUUACUGACACUCAGUGUGCGAAAGCUAGGGGAGCAAACGGGAUUAGAUACCCCGGUAGUCCUAGCCGUAAACGAUGGGCACUAAGUAGAGGGGUUAG
rnacentral:rRNA from 1 species